rnacentral:tRNA from 2 species
CUCUGUUUAGCUUAGUUGGUAGAGCGUUCCACUGGAAAUGGAAAGGGCGCACGUUCGAUACUUGGAUCAGGUA